CCUACGGGCGGCAGCAGUAGGGAAUAUUGCUCAAUGGGGGAAACCCUGAAGCAGCAACGCCGCGUGGAGGAUGAAGGUUUUCGGAUUGUAAACUCCUUUUGGUAGAGAAGAUAAUGACGGUAUCUAACGAAUAAGCACCGGCCAACUCCGGGCCAGCAGCCGCGGUAAUACGGAGGGUGCAAGCGUUACUCGGAAUCACUGGGCGGAAAGAGCGCGUAGGCGGGAUAGCAAGUCAGAUGUGAAAUCCUAUGGCUUAACCAUAGAACUGCAUUUGAAACUGUUAAUCUAGAGUAUGGGAGAGGUAGGUGGAAUUCUUGGUGUAGGGGUAAAAUCCGUAGAGAUCAAGAGGAAUACUCAUUGCGAAGGCGACCUGCUAGAACAUAACUGACGCUGAUGCGCGAAAGCGUGGGGAGCAAACAGGAUUAGAUACCCCAGUAGUC
rnacentral:rRNA from 1 species